rnacentral:rRNA from 1 species
GAUGAACGCUAGCGGCAGGCUUAAUACAUGCAAGUCGUGGGGCAGCAUGAGUAGCAAUACUUGAUGGCGACCGGCAAACGGGUGAGGAACACGUACACAACCUUCCUUCAAGCGGGGAAUAGCCCAGAGAAAUUUGGAUUAAUACCCCAUAAUAUAUUUGAUAAGGCAUCUUAUUAAUAUUAAAGCUUCGGCACUUGAUGAUGGGUGUGCGGCUGAUUAGAUAGUUUGGCGGGGUAACGGCCCACCAAGUCUACGAUCAGUAGCUGAUGUGAGAGCAUGAUCAGCCACACGGGCACUGAGACACGGGCCCGACUCCUACGGGAGGCAGCAGUAAGGAAUAUUGGACAAU